ACAAUUAUCGUUAUAUUACAAUGAUCACGCCACCCAGCCGUCCCACUUUGAAUCGGUCGGUGGCAGUGUAUAUAAAGGUGUCCGAGAUCUCGAUUCCGGCAUAACACAUCCUUUUGUGCAGAUAUAUUCUUUGUUUUCACUUUAACCCUCAAAAACCAACCAAAAACCAAAAAUGGGCGCUGAAAAAGUAUCCAUGAACAUCGUCGUCGUCGGACAAGUCCAAUCUGCCAAGGCCAUCAAAUCGGUCGCCAAAGCCACUCCAGCCACCAGCCAAUUGAUGAACUGUUAAUUCAUGUAGUCAAUACAUUGCAAAACUCAAAAAUGCCAUAUCCCAAACAGUACAAUAAUAUGUAACUCAUAUCUGUAUUGACACCGCAAAAUAAAUCAGUCGUUUCCGUUGUAUAUACUUAA